rnacentral:rRNA from 1 species
GACGUAGGGUGCGAGCGUUGUCCGGAUUUAUUGGGUGUAAAGAGCUCGUAGGCGGCUCGUCGCGUCGACCGUGAAAACCCGCAGCUUAACUGCGGGCUUGCGGUUGAUACGGGCGGGCUAGAGUUCGGUAGGGGAGACUGGAAUUCCUGGCGUAGCGGUGAAAUGCGCAGAUAUCAGGAGGAACACCGGUGGCGAAGGCGGGUCUCUGGGCCGAUACUGACGCUGAGGAGCGAAAGCGUGGGGAGCGAACAGG